rnacentral:rRNA from 1 species
CCCUUAGAUGUUCUGGGCCGCACGCGCGCUACACUGAUAAUGUCAACAAGCUUUACCUUGGCCGAUAGGUCUGGGCAAUCUUCGAAUUAUUAUCGUGAUGGGGCUAGAUUAUUGCAACUAUUAAUCUUAAACGAGGAAUUCCUAGUAAGCGCGAGUCAUCAGCUCGCGUUGAUUACGUCCCUGCCCUUUGUACACACCGCCCGUCGCUCCUACCGAUUGGAUUGGCUGGUGAAGCGUUCGGAUUGUGGGUUCGGAGCGGUUCGCCGUUCUGGGCUUGCGAGAAGUUCGUUAAACCCUCCUAUCUAGAGGAAGGAGAAGUCGUAACA